rnacentral:rRNA from 1 species
AAUUUUGGACAAUGGGGGAAACCCUGAUCCAGCGAUCCCGCGUGUAUGAUGAAGGCCUUCGGGUUGUAAAGUACUUUUGGCAGAGAAGAAAAGGUACCUCCUAAUACGAGGUACUGCUGACGGUAUCUGCAGACUAAGCCCCGGCUAAAUACGUGCCAGCAGCCGCGGUAAUACGUACGGUGCAAGCGUUAAUCGGAAUUACUGGGCGUAAAGCGUGUGUAGGCGGUUCGGAAAGAAAGGUGGGUAAUCCCAGGGCUCAACCUUGGAACUGCAUGUUUAACUGCCGAGCUAGAGUAUGUCAGAGGGGAGUAGAAUUACACGUGUAGCAGUGAAAUGCGUAGAUAUGUGGAGGAAUACCGAUGGCGAAGGCAGCCCCCUGGGAUAAUACUGACGCUCAGACACGAAAGCGUGGGGAGCAAAC